AUCGGCUGCUGAUUGACGGUGCAUCUCUAGCAGUUAGUUUAGGAAGUGUUUGAUUCAUGCAGCAGAGUUUUCUAUGGCGUAGCAUUUUGAACGUCAGUAUCGCAGUUUGAUUCAUUUUAUUGUGGGAAGCCAAAAUUGUGAUUGCGAUUAAUAUUCAAUUAAUUGCGCAGCCCUUAUACUGUGCCCCGCUCCGUUGAUGGUCUAACAACCCACACUGGCCCGUCGCCCCGACCUAGCCUUGACCAAUCAUGUUUCCCGUGUCCUGGCCCUGAAGCCCUAUUGGCUGAGCUCUCUCACCCACAACAGAGCCAUCUGCGGCCACUCAUCACCUGGGUAACAACCUGAGGCAGCAGAGCAUGCUGGGAACAAAAUCAGCUGGCUCUGGAUAUUUGGUAAUUCUCUUUCUGUGUUUCCUGACAAAAGGGGAGCGAUAUUGGUGCAGAAUUGGUGUUUAAAGCCCUAUCGAGGUUAAUCAGUCAUACUUUACGGUCUCUUUGCACAAAAUGACCAUAAUUUAUGAGUGGGGGCUCAUAAAUUUUGCCGAGCAAUGCCAGUUACUCCUCUGUUACCUCAGUGACAACUGGAAUUUCAAGCUCUUUAAACAGGCAGAGUUAGCCCAGUCCUGUUUUUACAGUGAGUGUUCUAAUUUCCCAGCUCCCUUUAACUACCCACGGUGCACAAUCCACUUGGUUCGCAGAACUCAAAUGAGAAUUGAUCCAAAAUACUGAUGCGAAUUUGGCAUGACAUCAGUUGGACAAAUAAGCAACCAGUGAUGUAACGUUAGCCACAAAAGCCAAAAGAGUUCCCGGUUGAUUUAUUGACCAAUUACAUGAAAAUGCUUCAGGCUGGUAAAAAUGCACAGACAGUCGCUGUACGCUGACGUCAGAGGAAAAUGUUCGACUUCAAUCUUGAUUUAUAAGUUUAGCAGAGGAAAUGUACCUGUUUCCUUGUUCAUCUCUUUUCUCUCCCUCUCUUUUUUCCUCUUUGUUUUGCUCUCAGCCUCUCAUCGUUUUCUGAAAAACUGUUAUCUAACUCUGAAAGGAAUAUCAUGCAAACUUUUGAGAUGAUGAUGGGUAAUGAUAGGCAUCAGAAAAACAUAUCAUUAAAUGUAUCUUUCUGAUUCAUAUUGGACACGUUGCUG